rnacentral:rRNA from 1 species
ACGGAAGGCAGCAGUGAGGAAUAUUGGUCAAUGGACGCAAGUCUGAACCAGCCAUGCCGCGUGCAGGAAUAAGGCCCUAUGGGUCGUAAGCUGCUUUUGUGGUGGAGCAAUAAGUCGUACGUGUACGGCGAUGAGAGUACAUCACGAAUAAGCAUCGGCUAACUCCGUGCCAGCAGCCGCGGUAAUACGGAGGAUGCAAGCGUUAUCCGGAUUUAUUGGGUUUAAAGGGUGCGUAGGCUGUGGUCCAAGUCAGGGGUGAAAGCCCGGAGCUCAACUCCGGAACUGCCUUUGAUACUGGAUUGCUGGAAUACGGAUGCCGUGGGAGGAAUGAGUAGUGUAGCGGUGAAAUGCAUAGAUAUUACUCAGAACACCGAUUGCGAAGGCAUCUCACGAAUCCGUCAUUGACGCUGAGGCACGAAAGCGUGGGGAUCAAACAGGAUUAGAUACCCUGGUA